rnacentral:rRNA from 1 species
GACCAUCCUCCAAGGCUAAAUACUCCUGACUGACCGAUAGUGAACCAGUACCGUGAGGGAAAGGCGAAAAGAACCCCGGCGAGGGGAGUGAAAAAGAACCUGAAACCGUGUACGUACAAGCAGUGGGAGCACGCUUAGGCGUGUGACUGCGUACCUUUUGUAUAAUGGGUCAGCGACUUAUAUUCUGUAGCAAGGUUAACCGAAUAGGGGAGCCGAAGGGAAACCGAGUCUUAACUGGGCGUUAAGUUGCAGGGUAUAGACCCGAAACCCGGUGAUCUAGCCAUGGGCAGGUUGAAGGUUGGGUAACACUAACUGGAGGACCGAACCGACUAAUGUUGAAAAAUUAGCGGAUGACUUGUGGCUGGGGGUGAAAGGCCAAUCAAACCGGGAGAUAGCUGGUUCUCCCCGAAAGCUAUUUAGGUAGCGCCUCGUGAAUUCAUCUCCGGGGGUAGAGCACUGUUUCGGCAAGGGGGUCAUCCCGACUUACCAACCCGAUGCAAACUGCGAAUACCGGAGAAUGUUAUCACGGGAGACACACGGCGGGUGCUAACGUCCGUCGUGAAGAGGGAAACAACCCAGACCGCCAGCUAAGGUCCCAAAGUCAUGGUUAAGUGGGAAACGAUGUGGGAAGGCCCAGACAGCCAGGAUGUUGGCUUAGAAGCAGCCAUCAUUUAAAGAAAGCGUAAUAGCUCACUGGUCGAGUCGGCCUGCGCGGAAGAUGUAACGGGGCUAAACCAUGCACCGAAGCUGCGGCAGCGACGCUUAUGCGUUGUUGGGUAGGGGAGCGUUCUGUAAGCCUGCGAAGGUGUGCUGUGAGGCAUGCUGGAGGUAUCAGAAGUGCGAAUGCUGACAUAAGUAACGAUAAAGCGGGUGAAAAGCCCGCUCGCCGGAAGACCAAGGGUUCCUGUCCAACGUUAAUCGGGGCAGGGUGAGUCGACCCCUAAGGCGAGGCCGAAAGGCGUAGUCGAUGGGAAACAGGUUAAUAUUCCUGUACUUGGUGUUACUGCGAAGGGGGGACGGAGAAGGCUAUGUUGGCCGGGCGACGGUUGUCCCGGUUUAAGCGUGUAGGCUGGUUUUCCAGGCAAAUCCGGAAAAUCAAGGCUGAGGCGUGAUGACGAGGCACUACGGUGCUGAAGCAACAAAUGCCAUGCUUCCAGGAAAAGCCUCUAAGCAUCAGGUAACAUCAAAUCGUACCCCAAACCGACACAGGUGGUCAGGUAGAGAAUACCAAGGCGCUUGAGAGAACUCGGGUGAAGGAACUAGGCAAAAUGGUGCCGUAACUUCGGGAGAAGGCACGCUGAUAUGUAGGUGAAGCGACUUGCUCGUGGAGCUGAAAUCAGUCGAAGAUACCAGCUGGCUGCAACUGUUUAUUAAAAACACAGCACUGUGCAAACACGAAAGUGGACGUAUACGGUGUGACGCCUGCCCGGUGCCGGAAGGUUAAUUGAUGGGGUCAGCGCAAGCGAAGCUCUUGAUCGAAGCCCCGGUAAACGGCGGCCGUAACUAUAACGGUCCUAAGGUAGCGAAAUUCCUUGUCGGGUAAGUUCCGACCUGCACGAAUGGCGUAAUGAUGGCCAGGCUGUCUCCACCCGAGACUCAGUGAAAUUGAACUCGCUGUGAAGAUGCAGUGUACCCGCGGCAAGACGGAAAGACCCCGUGAACCUUUACUAUAGCUUGACACUGAACAUUGAGCCUUGAUGUGUAGGAUAGGUGGGAGGCUUUGAAGUGUGGACGCCAGUCUGCAUGGAGCCGACCUUGAAAUACCACCCUUUAAUGUUUGAUGUUCUAACGUUGACCCGUAAUCCGGGUUGCGGACAGUGUCUGGUGGGUAGUUUGACUGGGGCGGUCUCCUCCUAAAGAGUAACGGAGGAGCACGAAGGUUGGCUAAUCCUGGUCGGACAUCAGGAGGUUAGUGCAAUGGCAUAAGCCAGCUUGACUGCGAGCGUGACGGCGCGAGCAGGUGCGAAAGCAGGUCAUAGUGAUCCGGUGGUUCUGAAUGGAAGGGCCAUCGCUCAACGGAUAAAAGGUACUCCGGGGAUAACAGGCUGAUACCGCCCAAGAGUUCAUAUCGACGGCGGUGUUUGGCACCUCGAUGUCGGCUCAUCACAUCCUGGGGCUGAAGUAGGUCCCAAGGGUAUGGCUGUUCGCCAUUUAAAGUGGUACGCGAGCUGGGUUUAGAACGUCGUGAGACAGUUCGGUCCCUAUCUGCCGUGGGCGCUGGAGAACUGAGGGGGGCUGCUCCUAGUACGAGAGGACCGGAGUGGACGCAUCACUGGUGUUCGGGUUGUCAUGCCAAUGGCACUGCCCGGUAGCUAAAUGCGGAAGAGAUAAGUGCUGAAAGCAUCUAAGCACGAAACUUGCCCCGAGAUGAGUUCUCCCUGACUCCUUGAGAGUCCUGAAGGAACGUUGAAGACGACGACGUUGAU